rnacentral:tRNA from 1 species
GGGAUUGUGGCUCAGUGGUAAAGCACUUGCCUAGCAUGUGUGAGGCUCUGGGUUCAAUUCUCAGCACCA